rnacentral:rRNA from 1 species
UACGUAGGGUGCAAGCGUUGUCCGGAAUUAUUGGGCGUAAAGAGCUCGUAGGCGGCUAGUCGCGUCGGCUGUGAAAACCUGCGGCUUAACCGCAGGCCUGCUUCCGAUACGGGCGAGCUAGAGUUCGGCAGGGGAGACUGGAAUUCCUGGUGUAGCGGUGGAAUGCGCAGAUAUCAGGAGGAACACCGGUGGCGAAGGCGGGUCUCUGGGCCGAUACUGACACUGAGAAGCGAAAGCGUGGGGAGCGAACAGG